rnacentral:lncRNA from 1 species
UUAAGAUUUCUUAAUGUAGUAUAUAAACUAUCCUUAGAAUAUGCCGCUUUUAUCUUCUUUUUGAGAAAUGCUUGCUGAAAUGACCCUCAAAAUGCUCUACUUCAGAUUUUUAAAAAUUAUUUUGGGUUACUUUUAAUUUAAACCAAAGACUUUCUUUAGCUCUUUAGGAGCUUUGCAAAUUUAGAUUAUCAGCCUUUUAUGUGA